CCCAGUGCCGCUGUGGCACGGGUGUCACAAGAGGUGUUGCAUGGGGACAACGGUGACAUUGAUUGCAACAGCCCCACCAGGCCCCUCAGCCUCUGCCCCUACAGCAGCAGGGAGGGAGCAGGGCCAGCCCCAGCACCCCCACAGCCAUGGGGCACUCCCGGGUUGGCCCAGGCCACUUGUGCCAGCAGCAACUGGGGCCUGUCCCACCCACCAGCACUGCUAUAAACCCAGCCUGUUUGGGGCACUGCAGCAUUGCCUGGCCCCAAGGGCAUCUGCACACAGCCAUUCCUGCUGCCUUUGCUGCUGCCUGAACACCAAAGCCUUUCUCAGGGAGCCCUGUGAAGUCCCGGGAGGAACAGCAGCCAUGAAGAUCCUGUUCCUGCUCUUCGCCCUGAUCCUCCUGUUGGUCCAGGGUGAUGCAGCAAGUGCAGCUUCAUGCCGUUCAAAACGGGGAAUCUGCGUCAAACAUUUUUGCCCCAGUGGUUCAUAUCGUGUUGUGGGAAGAUGUUCACGAGGCUUUGCAUGCUGUAAAAG